GGGCCCGCACAAGCGGUGGAGCAUGUGGUUUAAUUCGAUGAUACGCGAGGAACCUUACCAGGGCUUAAAUGCAGAACGACAGAGGUGGAAACACCUCCUUCUUCGGACGGUCUGCAAGGUGCUGCAUGGUUGUCGUCAGCUCGUGCUGUGAAGUGCCGGGUUAAGUCCCAUAACGAGCGCAACCCCUAUUUCUAGUUGCCAGCGGUUCGGCCGGGGACUCUAGAGAAACUGCCAGCGUAAGCUGUGAGGAAGGUGGGGAUGACGUCAAAUCAUCACGGCCCUUACGUCCUGGGCUACACACGUGUUACAAUGGCUAGUACAAUGGGCUGCAAAUCCGCGAGGGUAAGCUAA
rnacentral:rRNA from 1 species